rnacentral:rRNA from 1 species
UGCCUCAGACAUGCAAGUCGAACGAUUAAAGCUCUCUUCGGAGAGUGUAUAAAGUGGCGCACGGGUGAGUAACACGUAAGUAAUCUACCCUCGGGUGGGGAAUAACCCAAGGAAACUUGGGCUAAUACCGCAUAAUGCAGCGGCUCCUACGGGAGACAGUUGUUAAAGCAUUUAUGCGCCUGGGGAGGAGCUUGCGGCAGAUUAGCUAGUUGGUAAGGUAAUGGCUUACCAAGGCAACGAUCUAGUAGCCGGCCUGCAGAGGGCGUGUCGGUCACACUGACACUGAAUAA